GCAGGGAGUUGUGUGAAGGGGACCAGAGUGACUCAGCCUGCAGGACAGGUCCUCUGUGCUCCCCUGGAGAGAAGUCACACCCAGACAUCCUCUGAACGGCUGAGAGUGUCACCAGUGAUUCGCUGACGAAAACCAUCUGGGGUAGAGACAGAAGCCCUUCCUCAGUGUCAAGUGGCAGCAAGUGUGACUGGGAGACUCCUGCUUACCCCCGGCCUGGACUUUAGCCUCAGCCUGCAAGUGAACUCAGACUUGAAGUCUUUGAAGAAGAACCACAUCAUGUCCUUUGGAUUCUCCAUGGAACCUUCGAACCCGAGACACCAAGGAAUGUGGUGUGGUUUGGCAACCAGGUGUGACCGU
rnacentral:lncRNA from 1 species